rnacentral:rRNA from 1 species
GGACAAUGGGCGCAAGCCUGAUCCAGCCAUGCCGCGUGAGUGAAGAAGGCCUUCGGGUUGUAAAGCUCUUUCGGACGGGAAGAAAUGGCGGGCUCUGACAUAGCCCGUCGAUGACGGUACCGUAAGAAGAAGCACCCGCUAACUACGUGCCAGCAGCCGCGGUAAUACGUAGGGUGCGAGCGUUAAUCGGAAUUACUGGGCGUAAAGCGUGCGCAGGCGGUUUUGUAAGACAGAUGUUAAAUCCCUGGGCUUAAUCUGGGAACUGCGGUUGGGACUGCAAGGCUGGAGUACGGCAGAGGUGGGUGGAAGUCCACGUGUAGCGGUGAAAUGCGUAGAGAUGUGGAGGAAGACCGAUGGCGAAGGCAGUCCCCUUGGCCUGUACUGACGCUCAUGCACGAAAGCGUGGGG